GAGAAACAUGCACAUGGGAUGUUUUGCAUGGUUGGGUACUAAAUGAAAACUGGAUGCUUAAAACAUUCAAUAGCAGAUACAGAGGCAGUUCGUUUUCAGUUCAGUGAGACUUUAUUUUUUUGAAUUUGAGCUGAAUCUUGAAAGUUAAUUCUGGUUUGAGAGUUGUGUGCUUAUUUGUGCAGCCUCUGAGAUGCUGUGUUGAAGUAGGAAUGUCAAGAAGAAUAAUUUGUUUUUCAGAUAUGAAUUGCUUGAGCAAAUGGUGAUGUUUGCAUUCUAGCAAUUAUUGUGCCUGUAAAAUAUUUGGGAAAGCACAAAUAAAGAGCCUUGUUUUGCAGACUAUAGGAUGGUAUUCUAAAGAGUUCCCCAACAUGCUUAAAAAUUAUUAUUUGCUGUAAAAUCUUGGAAGCUCUUUUAAAGACUCAGUAUUUUCCUUUCUGUGUCUCUUCCAGGAACUUGGGAUUUUUGCUAAUGUAUUUAUGUGCAUUUUUGCUGAGGUUUUACAUCUUAUUUUAUUUUUGUGACAGCUAUGUGAGGAUCAUGAAGUUCUCAGCUUUAUUAAAUACAAAGUGUUUGAUCCAAAACCCUCUGCCAAAACACUCUCUGGCCUGCUGGAAUGGGAAUGUAAGACAGAUGCUGUGGAAGCUCUCACUGUACUUAAUCACUACCAGAUAAGAGUCCCAAAUGGCUCUAACCCUUAUACCUUGAAGCUUUGCUUCUCUACUUCAUCACAUUUAUAGAGAAGAGGACUGCAUGUUAAGAGCUACAUUCACCUUGAUUUGCAAGUUUGAAACUACACUUCGUUCACAAAGCUCUAAAGUGGUUGCUCUAACGUUGCCUUGUUUCAACUUAAUUCUAAUAUCUUUUAUCUUGUUUUAUAAUAAAUGGAUGUUCAUUCUUAAAUACAAAACAGAUUUUUCUUUUUGCCUCUCUGAAGUACAUGUUGUAAGCUUACUACGAAGUUUGUAUUUUGUUGGUGUAGUAUCUGCAGAUGUCUAAAGAAAAUCCAGUAGCGUAAACAAGGCAGUGUACCAUUCAGACUUCAAAAUGUCAGUUGUUUUCUUCCAAAAUGGAAAUAUAUUUGCAUUUUCAAUAAUGUUAAAGCUUAGCAAGUAUUUUUCAGUUGUAGUGGGCAGAUAGAACUGUUACAUCAGAAUUUUAAAUGUAGAAUCUGUUUUUCAGUAUGUUAAGUAGUGAAGUAUGUUGCAAUUCUAAAAAUCUUGUAUUUAUAAAAUGCUUUCAUCAGGUUAAUGUUGCACAUACAGAACUUUUAAUAGUAUGGACUUACUUGAUUUAUAGUUUUAAAAAAAAAAGCUAACAGAAAAUUAUUACAUAUACAUAUGUAUGGUGUGAAUUCAUGCUUAUUUAAAGUGUUGUUUUUAAAAAACAAACAAACCUAUUUUCCGUCUGCAUUAGCAUGAUGACAUCUAGAACCAGUCCCACCAUAGGGGCCUUUUAAAAUUAAAAUUGCAAGCCUGUAUCAGUGUGUUCAUCCUCAUUUUCCAUAACUUCAAAUCUUUGGUGUUAACAUAUCUUCUUGAUAUCUUUUUCAAUAGUUAUUAUGACUUAUUAAACUUAGAAAAGUUGGCUAGUUGAGAACAGAAGAUUGAUCACAAUAGAAACCAAGGUGGUGGAAAAAAGUUAAAACAAAAAGCAAGCCCACGGUACUCUUAUACCUGGAUUGUUAAUUUUAUGUACAAUGGAUGCUUAUAUCAAUGUUUUCUUUUGUCUGAUAUCUCUUAUUUCUAUUAUGAUGAUGAAAGGAUACAUGGGGUGAAUAGAAUGGCUAGCUUCUCACUUGAACUGUGGUGAUGUAGGUAGGGUUCAGGUAAUACAACUCUAUAAUGCGAUGUGAAACUAAGGAGAUGAGAGAUCUUUCACUUUGAGGAAGAUUUGUGUUGCACCAGCGCUUUGGAGCCUCUGUUCUCUCUUCUAGAACUGGUGCUUCAUUGUAUUUGGGCUCAACCCUCAGGGAUGGGAAUCCAGGGAGGGAGUCUGGGAUCUGUUGUUGCAGGCCUCAUGUUUGUUCCCCUCUCUGAAUUUGCAGCAGUUAGUGCUCUUUUAGUUUUGCUCUUAGUGAUCAAAGAGAAAUUGUUUCAUCACGUUUUCUUUUAUCACGCAAGUUCUUCAUUCCAUCUUUAUUGGUUUUAUCUGUAUCCAUACAAGACCUAUUAAUGCGGUGUGCUUGCCCUUGAGAGCACGUUGUGUUAUGUUUACAGACUGUGGGCACUGCACGUGCUUUUAAAGACCAACUAUAAUUUCCUCAUUCUUAAUUUGAAGACAAAUACACAUAAUUAUACGAGGGAAAAUGUGUCAACUGUCCUUUGGCUUUUCUCAUCAACUAUAAUUGAUUUUCCUCCUGCCUACCUCCGUUUUAUUCAUCUUUCAGAUAACAAAUAUUUCAUGAGUUCAAAGCAGGCUUUUAACACGUUUGAACUGGGAGAUGGAGGCUGCUUAGUGCCUCUUUCUGUCUAGAGUAUGGAAUAAUACUGCCUUCCUGUAUGGAAGAUGGCAAACUGGCUUGCAUUUUAGGGGCACUGCUAGCAUUCUUUCUGCCUUAGUGUUUCCCCCUCAAAAACAGCGUUUAGUGAGCUCUAGCCUGGAAGGCUGAGUGCCAAGUCCAGCUACUUGCCAACACAACUGCUGGGUACUAGUGAAAUGUUCUGUGCUGCAUUGUUUUUUAACUGUAAAAGGUCUCGCUGUCAUUAAUUUAUCUUCCAUCAGAAUGUUCUGCAAAUACCAGUUUUUUUUGUCGUAAGUUGCAUUGCUUUGUUUCAGAAUCAAAUUGUUUAUGUUUGAGCAUUGAAAAUGGCAUGUUAUCUGUUGGUCCACUUUGGGAUGUAGGAAGUGACCCUAAAAGCAUUCAGGUUUCUUUAAAAAAAAGAAAAAAGAAAAAAAAAAGAAAAAGAAAAAAAAGCACUUUAAUGUUUCCAUGUCCUUCAUGGAUCCCAGCAUUCAGUGCCUAAGAUGCUCAGGGGAAUGGUAUUUUUCUUGUAGCUGCUCAGAUCAGUCAGCAGACAUACCAGUUCUGGGUGAUAUCAGCUGGAAGUCCCUAUUUUGCAAAAUGAGUAGCCUGUCAUAUGGGGAAGAAAAGACAAGAGUCUAAGGAACUGCUCAGCAUUCUUUCUACGUCAAAUAAUAAUCUUCAUGUAAAAGUUGAGAACGUGAAAAAUUCCUUGUUGGUAUUUGUUUAAAAAAAAGUCAUUUCCAGGCCCUCCAGGGCUGGCUAGUUGUUCUCAGGGAGGAAUGAGGGUGGUCUCCUCCUUCCAGAAAUAAGGUCUGUAUUCACCUAUAAUUUAGGAUAGAGACAAAGCAGUGAGGCAAGUAAAGAGUUUCUCCAACAGGAAUGAAGUUUGUAAUUCGUCAGCCACCCACUUACCGUAUUUGUUAGAUCAAAACUAAAGUAUUAAGGUCUCUCAAUGCAAUUUUUCUGUCCCUUUUGCAUAAGCCAUAUAUGCAAAAUAGUGAACAAUGCUAUGCAUGUUUCCUGCUUGCAAGCAGCUUGCAUUCACACUGUAAUAUAUUCACGUCUGUUCCAAUGUUUAAAAAAAAAAAAGUUGUAUUUUCUAAUCAAUAACCUUUCAUUGGAAGUAAAUGAUAUACUGGGAGAUUUGUUCAUCUUCUCUCACCAUACUCAUAUUUUUGUUUUAACUUAUUUCCCCUUGUAAGGAGGAAUUGAAAUGAGUUGCUUUUUGAUUUUUCUAUACCACCACAGCAAGAUGGAGUGCUAAGGUGAUAUAAGAAAAGAUUUAAAAGAAAAUGUUCAGGAAAUGUUUGAGUGUUUUACUUUAUGAAAGGAAUUAUAAAACUUAAUAUGUUGUCACUAAGUCUGUCUUUGAGUAAGGGAUAGUAUGGGGUAAGCUGGCUUGUAACUGGCUGAAACCCUCUGUUGUAAUUAAAUUUAACUUGCUCCUUUUCCUAUUGUGUGUUUUCUUGUAAACAGAGCUUGAACGUGUUUAAAUGUUUUGAUGACUUAGCAGGAGAUGUUCAGUCUCUUCUUUUAAGUAGUUCAUUGAAGUCUGAGAGUAUGAAUGCACUUUCUCAAUUUAUUUUUCUCCUCCUGGAAUUUGUUUAAGUAUCUUCUGGGUUUUCUUAUCUUCUUUUGAAAAUACGUUAUGUUCUUACAUGUAGAAACUUCAGUAUUUUUGGACAAUCCAGCUUUGUAUGUCUACCCAAUCUCUUGGUUUAUUCUCUUUUGGCAAUUACAGAGGUGAAAUUACAAAUAAUCUUGUUUGCAUUGGUAUGGCUUUGGCCAGAAAUAGCAUGCAAGAAGGCAUACAGAAAUAAAAUCUGAUAUGGGCUCCACUUUAUGUGAAGAAUUCUUAAAGCAGGGAAUAUCAUUCUGAUUUUUAACUUUAACCUAGAUGCAGCUGUGCUGAAGUUCAGAGCCUUCCCCUCCACGGAUCUGGAAUUUCAAAGGUAACUUAGUCCUGCUUUAAAAUUUGGCUUGCAGUAAUUUCAUUUAGCAGUUUGCAUAUUUCAUGCUAUGAACAAGCCCUGGCGUACUGUCAUAGAAGAGCUGAUACUGCCCUCUGAAUGUGUGGCUUAAUACAAAAAUCUGUCAGCCUUGAAAAAACAAAUCUUCUUGAUUUGGGUCCCCUGGUGGCAGUGGUCUCAAAGGAAGAAAAAUAUUUUCACUGGUGCUCCACAGAGUGCUUCAGGUGUGUUGGUUCACUGCCAGUACUUCUGUAGGUUGUGUUUUUCCAUGACUCGUAAGUAAGGCCUCACUAAGUGAGAAAUAUAUGUUUUGUGACCUGGUUUGUUAUGAAAUUCAGGAGUGAGCAACAGACCUACCUAAGCAAGGGAGAAUCACUGCUGUGAGACCUCUGGAAGGGAGGCUCAAGCAGAUGAGGGGUGAGCUCAGUUCACUAGACCUCCAUUUCUCUGUCUGGUUGAGUGCUCUCAGGAAUGAGAGGUGGGUGUUAAACUGCUGCCAGAUGAAGUGGUCUGAUGUGCAGGCUCUCACCUAAAGGCCAUCCUGUGUUAGAAGGGAGGUGAUUGCCACUUUCUCUGCUUAUUAUAGCCCGUGCUGUUUUUGCUUCAAGUUGUUAAGAGUACAUAUUUAAAAUCAAUCUGGCUUCUUCCCAGCCCACCUCUGCUUCUGUAAGGAAUUACCUGGGAAUGGACUGGAAUGUGAAAAAUGUUAAUAUAUACUCACAAAGCAAGUCUAAACUGAGAAAUACUUAUCAUUAUUCUUCAUUUAUAAAACAAAGGAUUUGCUGUUUCUUUACUCAUUUCACUCUGUGUAUGAAGUCCAUAUAAAACAGGGUCUUGUUCUCAGCUGCGCCAUUAAAACGAACUUCUGGAGAAGGGUGAUGGGUUGUGUUCACAUGGCAAGGUGCUGUUUCUGGUGUGCUGUCCAGGUACUUUGCUAAAGCCGGUGCAGGGCAAAGUCUGAGUUGAAACAAAAAGCUGUUCAGGGCUAGGGACGAAGGCCCAAACUUCUUCAGCUAAAGCAUCUAAUUUGUAAAGAGCUUCCAUUUCUAGGCAGUUGUGUAAUUGAGUUAAAAGCAUGCGAUAUUUGUGUUCCAUUAAGUCUCUUAAUGCAUAAUGUGCUUUCCCUGUUAAAAAUAAAAAGGUUUCUUUCUCCAUGGACUGAUUCCCACAGGAUGUGGAGGAACUUAGCAUAGCCAGAUUACUUGUGCUUUGGCUCCUUUCCUCUAAAGGAAAUAACUUCAGUCCCUUUUCUUGUGUUCAGAAUGCCUUGGUAUCUGUCCUGUGCCAAGCCUUCCUGUGCUGUUCUUUCACAGCCAGCUCUCUGGGCUAGAGCCAUGCAUUAAUUCAGAUAGGUUCGCUUCUCUUCCUUUUUUGACUGUUGCAGCUGCUGAUGUGAGAUCUUAAUUUAUUUUUCCUUCUCUGGUAUUUGUAGAGCAGCUGCAACUUCAGUGGACCUUCAUGCAAGGGAAUGAGUGCUGUAGGAAUGCAACAAGGAGCCAGCAGAUAAGUGUUGGCCCGUAUUCAGAGGUGGAUUGGUGGUAUGGCAUUUGAGAAUGGAACCUUCCCAACAAUAUCCUGUGGCAUUUUCUUGAUAUGCAACAAGUGGCAGCAAAAGGACAGUCUGACAGAAUGUGUGUAUGUGUGUGUGUGUGUGUGUGUGUGUGUGUGUGUGUGAAACAAAAUCAUGGAACUGAAUUUCUUCAUACAAAAAAAAUAAAGAAAGAAAUAAAAUUGUGCCGACGUUCAUCAAUGCUUGCCGAACAUUUAUGGAGAUUGGAUAAUGGAUGUGAGCACAGGGAGGCGGUGGGUGGUGAUUUCAGCAGUGGUGACAGUGACGUGAAGGACAAGUCACGCUUCAGAUGGCCAUGCAGAUUUUAACAAGUGCAGCAUGCAGGAUCUUAUUGAUCACUGGUGAAAAUGCGCAGCUAAUGGUGGUGACUGUGUUGGAGAAUAGUUUUUGUAGCAGAGAAUUUGCCCUAUAAAAUCGUGUUGUUACUGCACUCUAUCUGAUGUAUUUUCCAAGGAAAUAAAUAGGAGGCAUAACUUUUGGAGCAACCUGUGUAAGUUAUACUUAUUUUCAUUUUUUCUGAUAGCUCUGUAGAGGUUUAUAAUCUGUUUUUGAAGAAAGAGAUCCUUGUGCCUUUAACUCUUGCUUUUUGUGUAUUCCUAACAUGAAGCAAGCUCACAUAGAGCUCACAAUGGAAUUUCAGGUUAGGACCUUACUGUUGAUACUAUUUCAAUGUAUUUCACAAUAAUACACUCUCUAGUCUUGCUUUUAUCAGCUAUAGCUUUUAUCUGAUAAUAAUGAAAACGUACCCUAACACCUACAGGACAAGUUUCUUUCCAUGAAGACAGACAAGGUGAUAGUACAUCCACAUGUCUUUUGUGAUAUGGACACCCAGUUAAGUGUGACUCCAUGGCUUUUCUAGCAUAGGCUAUAAUAUAUCAUUUCUUUUCCAUCUGUCUGUG